UAGCGCAGGACUGCUGUGCUUUCAGGAGCACGGCCGUUUUCGAUAAUAAAAUUUCUGAAUCGACGAUCGGUUCUGCUAGAUUUGAUCUAGCGUAUUUGAAGUUUCUAGAAAAUAAUUUUUGAGAUUUUUUGAUAUCAUUUAUCUAGCAAUCGAAAGGAUUCAAAAUCUACAAUUUUUAUCAAACCAUUUCAAAAUUAUCAAACCAUUUCAAAACUAUCAAACCAUUUCAGACUUGAUCUAGCCUUACUUUAUGAUCAAACCAUUUCAAAAUUAUCAAUUUUCAAUGGCUACUAUGACAAGUUUGGAGUUUAACGGUCUAGGAGAAUCUAAAUUUCUUCAAAUUUUGAUAUAGAAAAUACUUUAAACUAUCUAGAUUAAUGUUAAUAUUCUUGAUCUUGAAUUUAAAAGUCCUGUACUCAAAUUUUAAAGAUUAUUCAAUUUUCACCGUCCAUUUUGACAUAAUUUAUUUACUAAGUAAACGAUGUCGAAAAAAACUAAAAUUUUAUUCCUAAGAACUUUAUAUACCCUAGAUCAUAUUUAACGGUGUGGAUCAUUAAUUUGAACACCCUAAGAUCGAAAACAAGACUAUAGUACCAGAGCUCCGGUACUAUAGAUAGUAUAGUA
rnacentral:lncRNA from 1 species